rnacentral:piRNA from 1 species
GUGAAAUGUGAAUGUUGGCCUUG